rnacentral:lncRNA from 1 species
UCUGGACCAAGAAUUAUGAACCAAAUUUAUGAUUCAGAGCUUGUAAAAUAACAUAUGAUAGACCUUCGGGUUAUCUUAGGAAUAGUCAAUGCUACAGCAAGUAUUAAAUGUGAGUGUCAGAGCUCUCUUGUACUAAUGACAUCCAGCACCAGCCUUGGUCCUUCCACACUCAUUCUCUGCACAGAUCAGAAGUAACUACAAUUACUGAGGGACUGUGUCAGACCCCUAGGUAUUAGGACAGAAGACAACUUAGCCUCAUCCCACAGCCCCAAGAGCAUACACUGGACGGCUGCUUUGAUUUCUAAUGGAAAAGCUUUCCUUUGAUUUGUGGGAUAAGUUGAUGUCUCAUUUCUCUCUUCAGGUAUAUAUAUGUAUUACCUGAAAGCCCAGGGCAGUUGUUGCCUUGGGUCAUGCAGAGAAUAUGCAGCCACACCCAUGCCUUAGAUGUGUGUAAUUCAAGUGGAGAAGACACAAGCCAGUGGUCGCAAUAUCAACACUUGAGUGUUCUGUAAACGAUUAAUGUUUGCCAUGUGCAAGGAAAUGGCAGAGGCAAAAUGCUGGCGGCUUAUGGAAAAAUAAUUUAUAAAAAAAUGAUGGGUUAGUUCUGCCAAAUUUGAGAUUGGUGUCAGCAGAAAACCAACAGUGAUGUGGUGGCACACAGUGAACUGACAGGACCCAGGCAGCAGCGGUUCUUUUGGUGGCAAUGGUGCCAUGUCAUGGGUACUCUCCUUGCUGAUGGCAGAUACCGACAGGCAAACUGUUGCCUUGCGUUUAGCUCUGUUAACCAUUGACAGUAAGGUAAGCAUGUCUUCAGCGUUCAUGGCUCUUAAAGAUCUUGUCUGUAACACAAGGGUUUAAGACUGGGGUCUCAUUUUGUUGUCCUGACUUAGACUUGGCAGUCCUCCUGCUUCAGCCUGCUAAGUGCCAAGAUUACAGGGUUGAGCCAGCAUGCCUAACUUCUAGUUUAGUUUCUUCAGACAGGGUCUCAUGCAGCACAGGCUGGCUUUAGACUUGCUAUUGAGCAUAGGAUUACCUUGAACCCUUGAUCUUCCUGACUCUACCUUCUAAGUUCUGGG